rnacentral:rRNA from 1 species
UACCAGCUCUCCGAGUGGUAGGGAUGAUUAUUGGGCUUAAAGCGUCCGUAGCCGGCUUGGCGAGUCUCCUGUUAAAUUCAGCGACCUAAUCGUUGAUCCGCGGGAGAUACUACUAGGCUAGGAGGCGGGAGAGGCCGACGGUACUUCCGGGGUAGGGGUGAAAUCCUAUAAUCCCGGGAGGACCACCAGUGGCGAGGGCUGUCGGCUAGAACGCGCUCGACGGUGAGGGACGAAAGCUGGGGUAGCGAACCGGAUUAGAUACCCGGGUAGUCCCAGCUGUAAACUAUGCGGGCUAGGUGCUGGGGUGGCUACGAGCCACUUCAGUGCCGCAGGUAAGCCAUUAAGCCCGCCGCCUGGGGAGUACGGCCGCAAGGCUGAAACUUAAAGGAAUUGGCGGGGGAGCACCACAAGGCGUGAAGCUUGCGGUUC